rnacentral:lncRNA from 1 species
CUCAGACGCUCCUACUUAUGUCUAAAUAACAUGUUUUUAUUGUUGCUUCUUGAUUUAUAAAUUUUAUGCAUUGUCUAUUCACUUCCAGCUGGGGAGGAUGAAGAUCUAGCACCACACACUAUCUUCUUAUCUUCCCAUUCUGCUUUCAACAUAAACCAGAGACCAUUAGGAACACAGCUGAAAGCAAGUUAAAUUUAUUAUUUUCUGCAACAAAGAAGACCCUACAUCAUAGAGAGCAAAGACAAUAUCACAUUAAUUCCUGUUGCUUCUGAGUCUGGUGGAGAACAGAAACUUGCUUCAUUUUUAAAACCCUGAAACUUAACAUAGAAACUUUAAUGUAAGCAUUUAAAUUAUCAACUUGGAAUGAGAAAGUGAGUCAGACCUGAUAUGCAUCAGCCUAACUGCACCACUCUGGAUUUAGGAGCUGGAAAGGUAUAGAAUUUACUU